AGGAAUAUUGGUCAAUGGGCGGAAGCCUGAACCAGCCAUCCCGCGUGAAGGAAGAAGGCCUUAUGGGUUGUAAACUUCUUUUCUGUUUGAAGAAUAAGCUUGUCGAGACAAGUGAUGCCGGUAGGACAGGAAUAAGCAUCGGCUAACUCCGUGCCAGCAGCAGCGGGAAUACGGAGGAUGCAAGCGUUCUCCGGAUGUAUUGGGUUUAAAGGGUGCGCAGGUGGUUUAAUAAGUCAGUGGUGAAAGUCUGCCGCUUAACGGUAGGAUUGCCAUUGAUACUGUUGGACUUGAAUAUGGAUGAGGUAGGCGGAAUGUGUAGUGUAGCGGUGAAAUGCUUAGAUAUUACACAGAACACCGAUUGCGAAGGCAGCUUACUAAUCCAUGAUUGACGCUGAGGCACGAAAGCGUGGGGAUCAAACAG
rnacentral:rRNA from 1 species